CAGUGGUUACACAAAGGCAACAACAUCAACUGCUGUUUCCAGCAGCAGAUUCAAAUGCUUGUCCUUACAGGCUGGCUUUUAUCCAGCUUCAGAAACCUAACAAAGGGUGACUUUGAAUCCCAAAAAUGAUGGGACAGACUGCAACAAUGGUUAUGCUGAUCCACCAGACAUUAUUUUGGGGCCUGAUCCAGUUUGCUGAAGGAAAAAAAAGAAAAUCUGUGACAGAAAAUUAUCUUUAUGAAAAGAAUAACACAAAACUUCACACAGUGCUCCAGGUCAACCUCUUUUCCCCCCAGAUGCGAUGUCAGAGAGGCACACAAUGUCUGCGGGACGUCGCACCAGAG